UGGCUCAGGACGAACGCUGGCGGCGUGCCUAAUACAUGCAAGUCGAGCGGAGAUAGUGGAGCUUGCUCCAUUAUCUUAGCGGCGGACGGGUGAGUAACACGUGGGCAACCUGCCCUGCAGAUCGGGAUAACUCCGGGAAACCGGUGCUAAUACCGAAUAGUUUGCGGCCUCUCAUGAGGCUGCACGGAAAGACGGUUUCGGCUGUCACUGCAGGAUGGGCCCGCGGCGCAUUAGCUAGUUGGUGAGGUAACGGCUCACCAAGGCCACGAUGCGUAGCCGACCUGAGAGGGUGAUCGGCCACACUGGGACUGAGACACGGCCCAGACUCCUACGGGAGGCAGCAGUAGGGAAUCUUCCGCAAUGGACGAAAGUCUGACGGAGCAACGCCGCGUGAGUGAAGAAGGUUUUCGGAUCGUAAAACUCUGUUGUGAGGGAAGAACAAGUACCAACUAACUUAUUGGUACCUUGACGG
rnacentral:rRNA from 1 species